rnacentral:rRNA from 1 species
GAUCCUGGCUCAGGAUUAACGCUGGCGGCGCACAUAAGACAUGCAAGUCGAACGGACUUAAUCGAUUCUUUUAGAUUCGAAGCGGUUAGUGGCGGACUGGUGAGUAACACGUAAGUAACCUGCCUAUUAGAGGGGAAUAACAACGAGAAAUCGUUGCUAAUACCGCAUAAGCUAGUAGUACCGCAUGGUACAGCUAGAAAAGGNGAAAUCCGCUAAUAGAUGGCCUUGCGUCCGAUUAGCUAGUUGGUGGGG